UACGGAGGGAGCUAGCGUUGUUCGGAAUUACUGGGCGUAAAGCGCGCAUAGGCGGCUUUGUAAGUUAGAGGUGAAAGCCCGGGGCUCAACUCCGGAAUUGCCUUUAAGACUGCAUCGCUAGAAUCCGGGAGAGGUGAGUGGAAUUCCGAGUGUAGAGGUGAAAUUCGUAGAUAUUCGGAAGAACACCAGUGGCGAAGGCGGCUCACUGGACCGGUAUUGACGCUGAGGUGCGAAAGCGUGGGGAGCAAACGGG
rnacentral:rRNA from 1 species